rnacentral:lncRNA from 1 species
AUUACUUAUUCUAUUAUAAGUAAAUCGAAAAAAUAAAGGGUUCUGAAAAAUCUGGAAAAUUCGAAACUAAGAAUAGAAAUCUUUGACGAAUGGGUCCUGGAAUUGUUAUUAUUUCGACACAAGAAAAGGGUGUGUAAAAUUCCUUUUCUUGUGUCGAAGGCUAGAAAGACGAAGAAUACUCCCUGUAAUUAUUUGUUCCCCUCAUUUAAUUUAUCCUUCCUUUCUAUUCUCCACUUACUUAUCUUAUGUUUAGUAUCUACUCAAAUUGAAUUUAGAAAACAAAACCUAUUCUGUAACAUUUAAAUCUGACACUGACAAUAGGAAUAUAAUUACAACCCCCCAAUUUAGUCCAAUUUAGAUUGAAAAAAGAAAAAAAAAAGAGGUAAAGACAAAUAGUCUUCUU